AAUUAAUCUCAUCGUACAAAGUACAGAGCGAUCUUUGGAGAUAAUAUUAUUAAAUCCGGUCGGAGACGACGAGACUAAAAACUUCGCCGGGGAGUUUGUUCCGGUACCGGAGUUUUACUUUUGAAGUCGUGUUUUCUAGUUUCUUCUCCCACCAAACAAAACCCCCUAGAUUUAGAGAUUCUGUUUCCGGAUAAGGAAGUAGUUGAGUUUGAUCGGUUUGUUGUCUCUUAAAAUUCAUCAAAUCACAGGAAGAAAAAAAAAUGGCGUUUCUUAAGGCAGCGAUUAUUGUUGCCCUAAUCUGCAAUUUCCUCUCAGUUACUUCUUCUGUUCCUUUCGUAGUGCUACAUGGAAUUGGGGAUAAAUGCAGUAAUGCAGGAGUGAAACAAUUCACAGAGCUUUUAAGUGAUUGGUCUGGUUCUCAAGGAUAUUGCUUGGAGAUUGGGAAUGGCUCAUGGGACUCAUGGACCAUGCCCCUCCUUGNUA